CCUUAUUAUUUAUGUAAUAAAACCUACAAUUGACUUUCCUGAGACUUGUAGCAUUCCUUAGACAGGGGAUACCUGCCUUCUGAAACACUGCUCAGAGAAACUGGAGCAAAUAUGCUAUUUUUGAGAUUUAGUCGCCUAUGGGAAGAAAAUCAAAAUUUUAAAUUAGGAAACACUCAGUGGAUUCUGUAAGUUUCUUCAUGGAUAUGCAGAUGAUGAAACUGAAGGGGAGAGAGUGAUUUUCUUAAAAUUGGUAUUCUGAAAUUUAAUGCAGUACUUAUGAAGUCUUUUAUACACUGCCAUUGGAAUGAGUCACUGGACUGUAUUCACCUAAAGUUCAGGUCUGGUCAACAUUUUAGACCCAAAGGUCAACAAACUAUGUAGAUUUGACCCAGAUAACAGAUGCAGUCUGGUACCCAUUUGUGUCAUUUUUAUGUGGCCAAACCUAACUUUGUGGUUUCAUCAUGACAGGCUUUAGUUUGCAGUAGAGAUCUUGUGGCUCAGGAGCCUGAAGAGUUUACUACUCAGCUCUGUGAAUCUUCUUUAAGAUGAUCUUUGAGAAUACCUUUCCAUGUCGUCCUUAAAGCAAGCUAUUGUCAUCCAUUGCUAGCAUUCAGAUUCUCAAGACAAGUAUGUCAUGAGAAAUGAACCUGCAAAGACUACCUGCUUUCUUACCACACUCAUUUCUCCUCACCACUUGUGCCUGCUGAAGGUGAGGAACAACUUCAGAAGAUGCAGAGUGAGUUUUGAUGGGAAAGAGACUCUUCAUGGGCUACUCUAGAACAAACAAUGGAAACGGAUCACAGGAAAGAAUGAAGGACAUGGUUCAUGUCUGAUUCAGGUGAUUUCUACAAACAGUUCCAGGAGCUUUCUCCAUUCUCCCAGUUGAGAUUGGCAUUAUGCUUAGAGAAGAAAAAGCGUCUCAAAAGAAAACUAGUCACUCUUGAGGUAGAAUUGCCUCACCUGAAGAGGGAGGAGGUAUUUUUCCUUUUCUCUGAGUCAAGAACUCAUGAUCACCAUCACCCAACCCUGCUCACACACACCCUGACCACCACGGGUCUCUAGGCACUUUAAAUUCUAUGAUUUAUAUGAACUCUUACAGGGACGCAGCUGUUCUCCUGGGCAUAUUCACAACACGUUUUUCCACCCACUCACCUCCCAAGGUGGGUUCUUAAGCAAGUAGCAAAAUGAGGUGUGGGCACUGACACAAAGACCAAUGAGGCAUUUUAAGAGAAGUUAAAUUCAGGAAGCUUUAGGGAAACAAACAAAAAUAAAUUUUAAGAAAUCUGUUUGCAUGGAAAGAUAAAACAAUAAUAGAAUGAGAGAGAGAGAGAGAGAGAGA
rnacentral:lncRNA from 1 species